GCAGUCGUAGCCGGGUGGUUAAGGCGAUGGAUUAGAAAGCCAUUGGGGUCUCCCCGCACAGGUUCGAAUCCUGUCGACUGCG
rfam:Ixodes scapularis strain Wikel colony gcontig_1108378295572, whole genome shotgun sequence.